rnacentral:lncRNA from 1 species
AGGUUUCUAACAGAUCACUCAGCUACUAGGGUGGGAAUAAAUAUUUGAACCCAGGUUUGACUGAGCUCAGGGCUCUGGCAAUACUCUACCAUCUGCUAGUUAAGUCAUUCAUUUAAGCAUAGACUUGCAUGUCUUGCUCCUGAACAGGAAAUACUUCCAUCACAACACCAGUUCUUGGGGAGAGUCUCUCAUAAAUGAAAGAGUUCUGGUGGUUGAUCAUCAGAAGUACAAACAGUUCUAACAACCUAAUGUUCUGAGUUCUAUUCUGAUGGAUUUUGUUAGUUUAUUUAUCAUUCGUUUAAUGUUUUCCACUAUAGAUAUAUGCCCUAUUUGACAGAGCUUUGGUCCAGUGAGCAUCAUCAUGAACAUCAUCAUAUCUUCAAGGUGUCAAGAACAUAACCACCAUUGGCUCAUGUGAGUGGCAAGUCACACUAAUUGCAAGAGCUUCAGGCGUGGCUGGAUCCAGGAGCUCCAGCUAUAUACUUGUGAGUCUGACUCUCUCCAACUCUUGGUUCUCUUUCCUUUGCUUUUGGUUUCAUUCU